CACAGAGAUAGUCAGAUCUCAUAGUGUUUCAUUGACCAAGGGCCGGAUUGGGCAGCCGGGAUACCGGGAAAAAACCCGGUGGGCCGCCGAUCGUCAGCUCAGCUGGCUGCUGCAGUAGAGAAAGCAGCAAUUUGCAAUCACUCGUCUCUGGCAUAAAAAACAUGGAAAUACUACAAUUAUAGCCCUGGAUAUAAAUGAAUGUGUGGCGGCAGCACGAAUAUAGUGUACUUGACUUUAACCUACACAGUCGCAACGAGGAGGAAGGAGGAGCUGGCUGAUGUAAUAUUUUUUGGGGAGGGGGCGGCCGCGGUUAACAUUUGAGCAUCGUGCACCGGCUGGAGUAGGAUUCCCCUAGACAUUGCCAGGCUACACGUGUUCCGGAUCUGGCAGAGGAUUAACUGACUCAGACUAACCCCAGCGAUGUGCGCAAAGAUAAUCCAGCCUGAGUGACUCACAGCCACAUUUAAUCUCACUCUCCCUGAGUCCCUAGAGUAUCUGGCAUUACAAGCCAGCCAUCUAAAAAGGUUAUGUAAUGCAUUUAUCUUUACGCUGUAGCCUAGUGUCUAUUUUGGGUAUUUUCCAGCUGCCACAUGGCACAAUAAAUAAUGAUAUACAUGGAACCAUAGAUAUCUGUGCUUCUUUGUGAGAUUCUUCCUAGGUGAUAGUGAAUUUGAAACAGCCUGUUCUUUUUUAAUGCCUUGGUUACCAGAGUAGGCUGCAAAGCAUUGCAGAGCAACCUAAACCUAUAGACUGUGAGCUCUCCGGAGCAGGGCCCUCUUCCUCCUGUGCUAGAUUUGUUUAGGUUUGUUAUGUUUUGUAUUUUAUCACAAAUCUUUGUCAUUGUAUACCCCUAUCAUUGUACCCAGCGCUAUGGAAUUUGGCGGCGCUAUACAAAUAAAUGAUAAUAAUGGUU